rnacentral:rRNA from 1 species
GUGCCAGCAGCCGCGGUAAUGCGAAGGUGGCAAGCGUUACUCGGAAUUACUAGGCGUAAAGGGCAGGUAGGUGGUCUGAUAAGUCUGUUGUGUAAGCUCCCGGCUUAACUGGGAGAGGUCAACAGAUACUGUCAGGCUAGAGUAUAGGAGAGGUUACUGGAAUUCCCGGUGUAGCGGUGAAAUGCGCAGAUAUCGGGAGGAACACCAAUGGCGAAAGCAGGUAACUGGACUAUUACUGACACUCAGCUGCGAAAGCUAGGGGAGCAAACAGGAUUAGAUACCCCGGUAGUCC